CUCGUAGCCAAGUGGUAAGGCAUGGGACUGCAACUCCCUGAUCGCUGGUUCAAAUCCGGUCGGG
rnacentral:tRNA from 2 species